AGCCCGUGGCCCCGCCUCUGCGAGCGUCUGCGGCGGAGCGGUAGUGCGGGUCCUUCAGGUGGGAGGCGAGCUGGGCUUGGCUUCCUCAGCGCUCCCUGACCUCGCCUACGGUGUCUCGCUCUUGGCUCUGAUCGAGCCAUCGCUGCCGCGGCGAACACAGUCCCUGGAGCCCCUCACGCUGCCGGAACUCGGGACGUUGAAGGAACUUACCUGGUGGACCUCGGAGAGAUACUGUGGAUUGAGGUGGCAUCAGUGUCCCUGCCAAAUUA